UCAAACUUGGUCAUUUAGAGGAAGUAAAAGUCGUAACAAGGUAACCGUAGGUGAACCUGCGGUUGGAUCAUUACCAAUUUUUUUUUUUUAUAUUUUCUUUUUCUCUCUCCACACUUUUUUAUUUUAUAAGGGGUGUGUGCGCGAGGAAAAAGAACAAUAUAAAAAAUAAACACAUUGUGAACUUGUAAUCGUUUUUUUGGUGGUUCCUUGGGGAUUUUUUUCUCCUUGCACACCAAGUGUGCAGUCCACCAAAAGGAAACUCUCUCUCAUUCAGGGAGUUUCGAUUCAAACCCAACUAAACUCUUUCUAUUUAAAAGUCUUUUUUUAUAUUUUAUUCAAGCCAAUUGAAGAAACAACUUUUAACAACGGAUCUCUUGGCUCUCGCAUCGAUGAAGAACGCAGC
rnacentral:misc_RNA from 1 species